UUUCUCCCUAGGUCUGUGCACAGAGAUAUAAACAGACCUGAUGACAACAUCAGUUCUAUUUCACCAGCUUCAUAUCGUAUCAUACUUCUGGCUCAUAGUCUCCUUUAUUAAGGCAAAAUAAUGGCAUUGCUUUUUCCUAUAAGAUGACCCUUCACGUAAGUUUACAGGUUAUUUAAAAUAUUUUACUGUUGUCCAACAAGGAAAGGAAAGUAGCAUACAAUUAGCAAAUGUAUGUAUAAGCCCGGGGAUAAGAAAACAAAUAAAGCCUGUUCCAUCCUUGAGGUGUGGUUUCUCUGCCUACUAGUAAAAUACGGUCCAAUCAUUGUCGUUGUCCAAGCAAAAAUUCAGAUGACCUACACUUUUUGAAUGGGUUUAGAUGUAAAAGAGGUUGGAAUGCCUAAAAUUUUUCAUACCAACAUUUUCCUUCCUAGAGUGAGAGGCUGGAGAUCUCUUCCCAACUCGGGAGAAUAGAAGGAGUAUACCUUAAAGUUCAAAGCUCUUACAGAUGAUCUGCAGUCGUUGGCCCAUGGCUCCCUUCCAUCUUUGAAGGCAGAAAUGUCCAUUGAGUCUUUCUCACAUUACAUCACAUCACAUCAUUUUGACAAUUCCCCUGUCUCCUUCUUCCAUAUAUAAAGAGCCCAUAGGAUUACAUUGAAUUGCAGGUAAUUGUACAUCUCCUUUUAUGUCUAGAUCAACUGAUUAGCCUCCUCAAUCACAUCUGCAACCUAUGUCUCUCCCUGCUUCCAGUGUUUCAUAACAUAGUCACAUUUGAAUUGAAGAUUUGAAUAUGGAUAACUUUAGGGUUCCAUUGUUCUGCUUAUCACAGCAUUCAAUAACAAGUAUUGGAGACGAUGUGAGGCCACAGUCUUUCUUAUUCACCACUGGCAGAGUGUAAAGUGACAAAACCAUUUUAUUAGGAUUGCAAGAAUACUGUGAUAACAAUAAUCUCAUAUCUUAAUAGGCUACCAAACAAGUGUAUUUCUUACUCAAAAAAAUAACUACUAUAAUUCUGAAAAAAGUUUGUAAAGAGGUAUACUUGAAAAACUGUGGUGCAUAAACUGUAUUCCAAGUUUUAUAUCUACAAUAAAUGAUUACGUAAGUACCAAGGGAGACAUGUAACAACAGCUCAGGAGAGCAAAAACCUGAAACCAAACACCCCUCAAACUACAUUUUAUUCACACAGGGAAUAUUGUGUCUCAGCCGCAUAAGCAAAAUGUGGUGUAUUCACACAAUGAAUAUUGUAUCUCAGCCGAAAAGAAUGAAAUAUGUGACUGUUAAGGCAAAAGCAAGUUCUUGGAAAAGUCACUUGUUUCACACUAUGACAGACUGAAUCUUACAAUGGAAAAAAAGCCACACACAACUAAUCAUUCAUUUAAAGAGAAAUGCAUAUUUAUAAAAAAUUGAGAGUAAAUAGUUCACACAAUAAGUUUUAAGAUUAAAUUUAAGUGUCACUUUUGCUUGGAUACCUUUCAGAAAUCAUCCCCAGGUAACUCAGGUUUCCAUAGCCCCCCUACUUAUGUCUUUUAUUACACUUAUCUCACUGUAUUUAUAUGUUUUUCAUGUGUUUUUUUUUUCCCGACUCUUUAUCUAGACAGAGAGCACCUGAAAGAAUCUAACUUAUCUUAUGUUUCUUUUAUUCUUAGCUUCCAGACAAACACUUUCUGAAAAUGGCCAGGGAAUAAAUAUUUAUGUUGUGCUGGCCACAUAUGGUUUAUGUUGCAACUACUCAAUCUCAGCAUUGUACAACAGAAGCAGCUGUAGACAAUAGAUAAAAUAAUGGGUAGGGGUGUGUCCAAAUACAACUAUACUAAUAAAAACAAGCUGAGAGAAGGAUUUUGUCUAAAGCUGGAGUUUGCCAAACAACUAUCCUAGAACAAUGCCCUAUAACUGUGGACACAUAAGCGAAGUGUGUGGCUGAAUUAGCUAAUUAAGAGGUGAAAGUUUUCACAUAUGAUAAAUAGGCAUUAGCUCAUAUUGAUGCAUUUGAAAUGUUUUAACAAAAAUGUGAACUCCAGCAAGUUAGGAAGAAAAUGAGACUUCUGCAAUUAUCAGAUUGUAUAAACUCAUAUCUUAGCCUAGAUUGACAUGGAGAUUAACACAUGGAUACGUGAAUGUGUAUCGUACUACAUCUUCAUAUGUUCAUCUAAUAGUUGUUUAUUGACACGCAGCACUGUAUAAGCCAUUCGUGAUAAAACGGCCCAAAGCACCUUCUGCUCCAUUCUCUGAUGCUAAUUUUAUGUGAACAGUUACAUUCUACAUGUGAUUAAUCAUGCUUUUCAUUUUUAAUUUUUUUAUGCUCCACAUAUUUUGUUUUGUUGCUAGUUUGUGUUUGCAUGGUUUUCUCUACCUAUUGGUGAUUAUAAUUAUGUUUCCUUGUUUAUUUGAUUUAAUAUUUAGUGAAUCAAUAAAAUCUAUGACAAUAUCUUAAUAAUUCUCUAAACUGUCUUAGCAAACUUAAUAAAAAAUAAUUCAUAAUUAAAAGGAGCCAAUAAAACUGUGAAUUAUAUUCUUAAAUAUCCUCAAAAGAGGAAUAAA
rnacentral:lncRNA from 1 species